UACGUAGGCAGCGAGCGUUGUUCGGAGUUACUGGGCGUAAAGGGUGUGUAGGCGGUCCUCUAAGUUUGGUGUGAAAUCUCCCGGCUUAACCGGGAGGGUGCGCCGAAAACUGGGGGGCUAGAGUGCGGGAUGGGAGAGUGGAAUUCCUGGUGUAGCGGUGAAAUGCGUAGAUAUCAGGAGGAACACCGGUGGUGUAGACGGCUCUCUGGACCGUAACUGACGCUGAGACACGAAAGCGUGGGUAGCAAACAGG
rnacentral:rRNA from 1 species